AAAGAUUAUUUCAAUUAUGACAUCCUAAUUUUUAAUGGCUUGAAAUAUUAUAAAUAUAAAAAACAGGUUUCUAAAUUUAAAAGAAGAAUGACUAAAUUUUUCAGAAAUAUUUCAUAUUUCUUGUCAUACAAUAUAAGAACACCAUUCCAUGUUUCCUUUUAGAUUAGGAACCUUCCCUUAUCUCACUGAAAGGAGAAUGCUGGAAGGUGCUAGUAAGAUGACAGUCUGUCUAAGGACUCCAGAACUGAAGGAAUUGUUUUGUGGCAAUGCAUGUCACUUCCCUAACUCAACUGGAAAAGGAGACAAAAACCUAGUGUUUUCAACCCUCAAGCUAGCAAGAAAACACAGCCCAGGGUGCCUGAGGGGCAUGUAGCAAAAGUGAUCCCAACCACACCACGCAAACUAGCCAGGAAACCUUUUUGCCUUCACACAUCUGAGAGUCCCUGAGAAGCCGGAGACAACACAGAGGCAGCAAAACACCAACAGGAGAGUCCCAGCAUCAGUUCCUGGCCACAGAAACCCUCCUGAGCAGCAGGCAGAACAGAAUCCACUACAGCAAUCAGCCUGCCAGAGAAGCCUCUGCCCCUGUGGUGUGAGGAUCCACUUCCCCCAGGUGACACCACAGGCAGGUGGGCUGAAGAAGUGGGAAGGUCAAAUCGACUGGCCCAGCCAGGAUGCCUCUUUGAUGAUACAGGUGGUACCGGUCUAAGCCUCCCCUCUUCCACAGGGGAAACUAGGUGGCCCAAAGGGUGCCCAGAGGCAGGGGACCUGCCACAGCAGCCACCCUCCUGGGAGGUUCCCUUUCUUCCCCUUCGUGAACUCCCUCUAACACACAGCUUGCCAGGGAAGCACCCUUUGUCUUACAUGGAGGGAUCCCACCACACCAAAACCCAGCCAAAGAAGCCUUUUGUCCCUUAAGGGUUACCACAACCAAAAACAAAAAGAUACACAAAUAGUAAGCCCCUAAAUUCUGUUAAGAAUGAAACAAUGCUGCCACUCACACCUGGCUCAGACGCCAGCAGAAGGAGGGCACCCUCCAGAGACCGCAGGAGAAGGGGGAGGACUCCUCCUUGCCCUGGUCCACCACUGUCACUGAGGCCUGCGGUACAGAACCGGCAGCUUCUUACCCACCCCAGGCCGGGCCGGGCCCCAGAGCUCUCCUACUCCCCCUUCCUGGCCCCUAGACUUGCUGCUGCUGCCACCAUUAGCGCCGACGC
rnacentral:lncRNA from 1 species